GAGAGCACAGGCAAAGAAAAAAAAAAUGAUCCAAAGUUAGAGAAUAUGAAAGGUAAAUGGAAGUAGGCCUGUUCUACAUUUCUGCAUGCAAUUUUUGCAAAUACAUCCUAGUGUAUACGUUGGACCAUCGCAGUCCCUGAUAGACUUAACAUGUAACAUGUACCAUUCCUAAACUUGUUCUUCCCAUGGCCUUCAACUGCUUCUUCAUUAAAUCCAAAAUCAGAGAAAACAGAGCUUGAAGUGAUACCAAGACAUCUUGUGGUCUGCUUUAUUUACCAGGAGCCAGGAUCAGCUACCAAGAACUGCUCACAUUGAUAACCAUCUUUUUUUUUUUUUUUUUUUUGUUAUAAAUUUAGUGAAAUGAUGAGAUGUUAAUCAAACCAUCUGACAGUCUGGGUGGCAGGAUAAAUCCUUAAGAGAGAUUUAGUGCUUGUAAUGAGGUAUCUUCUUCAGGGACCUGGAGCCUUGCCUUUUUUUCAGGCUUAGUUUGCCUUCAGUGUAGGAAAGGGAGGUUUAGGGGUAAGUUUUAGCUCUCCAGAUCCUCUUCAGAAAGCUUAGCUGUAUUAGCCCGUCACUUAUGAGUUAGGAAUCCUUCAUCCUUUGUACCUGAAAAUUAAAAUUACUGUAAAACAACCCCCCAUUUUUGCUUCGUACGGACUAAACCUGAGGAAGUGAGGUCAGGAAAUGCAAUACCUAAAUUAAGCCACCUGUUUACCUGGCCUGCAUGUACCUUAAAUAGUGGAAAGUUAUGAGACCCUCCUAUUGCUACACAUAAUGGGGUGAGCAGGGAGAUCAGAAUAGGGUGAAGAGGCUUGUGAGAGCCACAGGUUGAUUAAUAAGAAACUUUUCACCAGACAGAGGUCUGCCAGAAGCAUUAAGGUCAAGUUGGCUUCAGGAUUCUGGGACAUGGGAGCCCAGGGGACAGCAGGAGCAAACUAAGGACAGAAGCUUCCUGAUUUCAUGGACAAGUGCCCUUUCUUCUAGGGAAAAGCUCUGGAAUCCAACGAUGGACAACAGACCAGCUUUGGAGGGUGGUUAUAGCUCUGUAUCAGUGUCCAUCUUCCCUUUACAAUGCCAUUAGGGGCCACAGGAGCUAAAUAUGUAGAAGAUAAUACACCACUAGCGGCCGGCUCUAUCUGCAAAAUAACUUUCAAGCACACCCACCAGUUUCAUCUGUAGCCCAUUCCCUACAAUAGGAUGCCAGCACUGAUACAACUGCGGCCUGUCCAGAGCCAAACCGUGGGACUACACCACCAAGAUUUUAGCAGAACCAGGAUUUCAUACUCCAAGUUCCCAAUAUGUUGACUGGUGUCAUAUUUGAGCAUGUAACUUGAAGUACUCCAUAUGACACACAAUACGCUGCAUACCAGCAGAUUUGUGUUGGAAUCGAUCUAGUCGUUCUCAGUUCUUUAUUCAUAUGGUUGAGCUGCGCAAGGAAUAAACAUUUCUAGUACCAAAUUUAGAACGAAUAUAUUUUAUUGCAGAUGAGAAGAUCCUAUUUGCUUUUGGUGGCACUGCUGGGGAUUGGUAGCGGUUUACUGAAGGCACAAACUGUGUGUUUGCGUGUGUGUUAAUCUCUUAUAGCUGUACUAAACUGCUUCCAUAAAUCUUAGGCCGAAUGCCGCUUUCAGUUACACCACGCAGAACCAGUAAUUCCCAUAGCAUUUUGAGAUAUAGAAACUACAGCACAGUUUGAUCGGUUGUAGUCUCGGUGUAUUUUAAGGUCAUCAUUUCUAUAGGCAGAACAUGCACACGCUCCAGAUUAUUACCUACUCGACCAAGUUCAGUCUUGCUGGAAUGCAACUGAUACUCACCGAGUAUAGCCAGGAAGAACAAAUU
ensembl:lncRNA